GACGAACGCUGGCGGUGUGCUUAACACAUGCAAGUCGAACGGUAAGGCCCUUUCGGGGGUACACGAGUGGCGAACGGGUGAGUAACACGUGAGUAACCUGCCCUCAUCUCUGGGAUAACAGUCGGAAACGGUUGCUAAUACCGGAUAUGAGCUUGCAAGGCAUCUUGUGGGUUGGAAAGAUUUUUUUUGGUUGGGGAUGGACUCGCGGCCUAUCAGCUUGUUGGUGAGGUAGUGGCUCACCAAGGCUUCGACGGGUAGCCGGCCUGAGAGGGCGACCGGCCACAUUGGGACUGAGAUACGGCCCAAACUCCUACGGGAGGCAGCAGUGGGGAAUAUUGCACAAUGGACGGAAGUCUGAUGCAGCAACGCCGCGUGCGGGAUGACGGCCUUCGGGUUGUAAACCGCUUUCAAUUGUGACGAAGCUUUUUUGUGACGGUAGCAGUAGAAGAAGCACCGGCUAACUACGUG
rnacentral:rRNA from 1 species